rnacentral:rRNA from 1 species
AGAGUUUGAUCAUGGCUCAGGAUGAACGCUAGCUACAGGCUUAACACAUGCAAGUCGAGGGGAAACGACAUCGAAAGCUUGCUUUUGAUGGGCGUCGACCGGCGCACGGGUGAGUAAUGCGUAUCCAACCUGCCCAUCACUUGGGGAUAACCUUGCGAAAGUAAGACUAAUACCCAAUGACGUCUCUAGAAGACAUCUGAAAGAGAUUAAAGAUUUAUCGGUGAUGGAUGGGGAUGCGUCUGAUUAGCUUGUUGGCGGGGUAACGGCCCACAAGGCGACGAUCAGUAGGGGUUCUGAGAGGAAGGUCCCCCANAUUGGAACUGAGACACGGUCCAAACUCCUACGGGAGGCA